rnacentral:tRNA from 1 species
GCUGUUGUAGUUCAGCUGGCAGAGCAGUUGAUUUGUAAUCAUCGUGUCGGCGGUUCGAUUCCGUCUCGCCGCUCCA